GGUAGUCCACGCCGUAAACGAUGUCGACUUGGAGGUUGUGCCCUUGAGGCGUGGCUUCCGGAGCUAACGCGUUAAGUCGACCGCCUGGGGAGUACGGCCGCAAGGUUAAAACUCAAAUGAAUUGACGGGGGCCCGCACAAGCGGUGGAGCAUGUGGUUUAAUUCGAUGCAACGCGAAGAACCUUACCUACUCUUGACAUCCAGAGAACUUUCCAGAGAUGGAUUGGUGCCUUCGGGAACUCUGAGACAGGUGCUGCAUGGCUGUCGUCAGCUCGUGUUGUGAAAUGUUGGGUUAAGUCCCGCAACGAGCGCAACCCUUAUCCUUUGUUGCCAGCGGUUAGGCCGGGAACUCAAAGGAGACUGCCAGUGAUAAACUGGAGGAAGGUGGGGAUGACGUCAAGUCAUCAUGGCCCUUACGAGUAGGGCUACACACGUGCUACAAUGGCAUAUACAAAGAGAAGCGACCUCGCGAGAGCAAGCGGACCUCAUAAAGUAUGUCGUAGUCCGGAUUGGAGUCUGCAACUCGACUCCAUGAAGUCGGAAUCGCUAGUAAUCGUGGAUCAGAAUGCCACGGUGAAUACGUUCCCGGGCCUUGUACACACCGCCCGUCACACCAUGGGAGUGGGUUGCAAAAGAAGUAGGUAGCUUAACCUUCGGGAGGGCGCUUACCACUUUGUGAUUCAUGACUGGGGUGAAGUCGUAACAAGGUAACC
rnacentral:rRNA from 1 species